rnacentral:rRNA from 1 species
GGGUGUGAUUACACCAGCAUUAGUGUAUCGAAUUUCCUCAAAAUUCUGAAGUUAAAUAUGAUUGGGCAAGAGUAGUAGUGGAAUAGAUAACUUCUUAAGAAGUCUUCGUGUUGCACCUC